GGGUGUGUCUGUCAUCUAGUCUGCAAGGCAGCUGUAGAGGAUGACAGACACUGCUUUUGUAUUUAAAAGAAUAAAAGAAAGAAUAAAAGGGGGUCCAGACCAAUCACGACUCUAUACACCUGUCUUUGCAUCUCGAAGGCUGUGGGCAAGUCUUCCUGGUUGCCGCACAGCGCUGUGAGCACCACUCUUUGCAGCUCAAAGCUGCGGGCAUCUCAAAGGCUGUGGGCAACUCUUCCUGGUUGCCCCCAUCUGUCUCCCCGCUCUAUCAGCAGUAGCUGUUGCAAUCACGUCAGGGUCCACCAAUUGCCACACUUUCAGAGACAGACCAGUGCCAGGACACACUGAGUUCAUGCAGCAACAGCUGCCUUGAUUGAGAUCUUGCUUCCUUAUGUACCUAUGAAGCCCACGGGGUUAGUCCUCAUUGGCCGAGCCAGUUACUUCCUGGUCAGCCAGCCAAUAGGAGCCCGAAUCCCCAAUGGCCUGGGCCUGCUCUUACCGGAAGAAUUAUAAUAUUUCACUCAGCCUGAUUCCAAGGCAGACACAGAUGCUACAAAGAAUGCAAAAGAAAAACAGGAAAAAAUGCAGUCUCAAAAGAGGAAUCAUUCUGCAGUCUUGGGUACAUUGGAAACUUCAAAAGAGCAUGAGAAAAUACGUGGCAUAAUCACAGUUGGAUGGGAUUUUAGAAGAUACAAGAAGACACAGCAUGCCAUCUAUCACCAGUCAACAUAGAACUACAUUUUCAGAAGUUAGCAAGUGUUUGCACCUAAGAUGAGUAGUAUCCUAGAAUAUCCAAAAGACCUUUUUUCUUUGAUAAUCCAUUUGUAGAUUAAAUGAAAAAUUAUCUGUGCACCAUUUUUAACACUAUUUAUUUGA